GUAGCAAAAUGCAGUCACGGAUACCUUCUUGUGGAGAGGCUUGGGUAUAACAAAAACUAACUAGUGGGGCUGAAUGCCAGACAUUUGGAGAUGUUUUUGUUCAAAUAAGCCCUCUAAAGUUCAGACAUGUAUACAAGUUUUAUCUGUAUUUAUCUAAAACCCUGUUGUCAGGAAAUCUUGGGAGAAAAGCUCUUGUGAGAGACUUUUGAUAUUGCCUACAACAGUUUUUCUUGACUGCUAAUUCUGGUCUUGGCAGAAAAGAGGAAUAGCAGUGUACUCACACACAUAUAAAACAGUUCAAAGUGAGUUGAUUUACUUUUCUCAGUGAUACUGUGUUUCAGACUGGAUGCAAUAGGUAAAACUUCAUUCAAUUUUUCUGCAAACUUGAAGCUGUUAUAAUUUCAAAUCACCAUUAAAACAAACAAACAAACAAACAAAAAAGCUAUAUUUUAUUUCCUAUUAGUUUUAAGAUGUAAGUUGUUCUUCCUUUGUUUUAAUUGGUGACUGACAACCUUUCUCUGCUGAACUCAGUGAAAGCUUUAUUCUUGAUUUCAUUACAUUUACAUUUUUGAUGACAUUUCUCUCCCUUCUGCAUUUUGCUUCAUUUUCACACAAGACCCUUUUACUAACCAUAAUACUUAAAAUAAAUUUUUGGAAAUAUUGGGAAAUAUUUCCCAAUAAAUAAAUAAGGGAAAAAUAAGGGAAAUAUUUCUACUUGGUUCAGGAUGUCAAAGUAUUUAAAAAAUUUCAACUACGUCUAAAUUUCUGGUCAAAAUUGACUUCAGAUAUUUCUGAAAAAUCCCUUACUUGGGUAAGAGUGUCCUUGUUGGCCCAAUUGUUUUCUUUGUGAGAAACAAUUUUGUCUUGUCUCAUCCAUACUACUGAAAAGUCAAUAAAAAUCAAAGAAUCCUAAAACUUAUUAAUAUAGAUUUCUUAUAAUUAAUUCUUCUCACAGGCAUACUCACACACAUAUACACACUUGCACGUUCUUCCUAAAUUAUAGAUGUGUAUUUUGGUCAAAAUUGUGUAUUUUUUCAGCUAUGUUCCAUUUUUAACUUUGCAUUUCAGCAGAUUAACGCAAUAUAAUUUAUUCUCUUACUGAGCAAAUUAAAGACUAAUUGGGCACACAGGUCAUUGGAGAUAUAGUACACCAUGAUAUCCUAGGCAGUAUCUACAGCCUGAUUUUGCUUAUUGAAACCAUUUCACUGUUUUUAAAUCCUAAUCUGAAACAGUAUCAAUAUCAUGCUUGAGAUUCAUGGUGCUUUCAUAUGACCUUAACAAGUAUUUCUCAUUUCUUCCUGGAAUUAUUACAGGAUCCAUUUUCAUAGAUCCAUUGAAUUAAGCAUCAGAACUGUUUGCUAAUAGCAGGGGGCCAUAUGUUGCCCUUGCUAAACAACACAGUAGGGAGCAAAGGAGUACAAAUACCAGUGUAACAAAGCCAGAAAAUGCAUGCCAAUGGGAAAAAGAGAUGGUAUGCCAACACUCAUGACAUGACAGGGCAGUAGGAAAUCCAUUGUAUAACAGCUAAUGGCAAAUAUGAUGCAAAUAUGAUUGUGAUAAAGAAUUAAAUUCCCAGGGGAACACUGACACGUUAUGGUACUACCUUCCUUUGCAAGAUCCAAACUAAUGGAGGCGAGGCAGCAGCGUUAGCCUUCUCUGUAUUUGUUAACACUAGGCAACAUGAAUUGACAACAGCACCAAUUGUGUCACCUGUGCUGGGAAGGGUUUUGAUCAUGCCUAUUAUGGCACAUGCUUUUGAGCAAGAAUGUCUGAGGUUUAGGAAGAAGAGAUGACCAGGCUAUAUAUGACCUCUUCUUCAGGGAUUUGCCUCAUGGAAUUUCAGCAUUUGAAAGACUGGAGAAUAUUAAUCCAUAGAUUGCCCAGCCAUGCCUGAGAACACAGCAGGGGAGGACUGUCAGAAUAGGAAAUUAUUUCUCAGGCAAAUGGGGAAAUGGAGGAAGCUAAAACCUGUGUGAAUUGAGAAAAAAAGUCAAGACCUGAGAGAGCAGACACAUGGAAAACCAAUGUUUUCUGCAGAGCAGCACUAGGAUGUCAGUGCUGCAAAACACAUGAAAGCAAGAGUUAAAAGAAGACAACAAUCAAGGAAGAUGACCAUUGCAGACAAAAAUUCAGAGCCAAGGAAAACAGAUCUGUUCAAAUUACAGCCAGCACCAGCAUCCUACCUAGAUGGCAGUGUCACAGUGUCAGCCAAUAUGAGAGUGCUACUUCCAGAAGAUAAAAUAUAGGAUGUAAAAUGAGUUAUUUUAAUUCAUGGUUGGGCAAACAAGGUUUUGAUGCUUGUAAGAAAAGCAGAACUAUGAAUCAGUGUCUUCCUCUUCACAAAUUUCCUUUCCUUAUUUCUCUUGAUUAUUACUGUAUCUUUUUGUUGUGGUUGUUUUGUUUUGGUUUGGUUUGGUUUAGUUAGAUUUGUUUGGAUUUGGUUUAGUUAUUCUUUUCUGUUUGUAGCCUAAAGCUUCAAACUCUUCACUGAACUUUGAGUAUAAGAUCUGAAGACAGCAUAUUUAUCUAUUUAUUGAUUGUUUGAUUGAAAAGGACCAAACCACCAUGAAAUGGAACAGAAAUGAUCUGGCUUCUGACUAAAUGAGUACAAGGAAUGUUGAUUUCCUACCAGGAGACAUCUGAGAAGUUCAGUUCAUAUGCAUGCAUUUCAAUGCACUUUAUUGCAUACUACACAAAACAGGAUACAGGUUAAGAUUGUUUUACGUAAUCACUGUCUACAAAAGACCUACAAUGGAGGCAAAGGAAGAGAAUGACAAUGACAAGCAGAGAAAGGUCGAUAUUUAAAACAUAACAACAAGGUGCUGAUUUUCUAAGACCUUAUGAAUUCAGCAGAGAAUGAUUUCUACUGGGUAUUGGAUACUAUCCAGGAAAAGCUUUCUAUUUGAAAGUAUCAAAACACCUAAAAUUAUGAGACAUAUGGUACUGCCACUACUUUCACUGUUAUCAGAAAGCAAUAAUGGUCCAAGAUUACCUAAGAAGUCAGUGGCAAAACAGGGCAGUAAUUAAAAAAAUAAAUAAAUAAAUAUUUUCAGCUUUUACUAUCUGCAUGGUUUUGUAUCUAAUCUCUAAAUGCCACUGAGUUGGAAUGCCUAAGGUGUAAAUAGGUUGGUUUCAUGAUUUUUCUCUGUGACAACCAUUCUGUUACCUCCUAAAGUUUUACCUUUUAUUCAGAGUUGGUUACUUUUAUCAAAGGCCAGGUCACUUCCUCCAUAAAGUACAUUUCUCAAUCAAUGAAUGCUUGUACCUGUUCACUAUCCUAAAAAUUUAUAAUACUAUCUUUGUAUUUACAGUAAAACCGGUAUCUUGUUUCAACCUGUUCCUUCUCUUGAUCAGUAAUAGUUAGCAAUGAAAAGCAAGCAUAUAUGUACGCAAACCUUAUGAAGACACAGAUAGAUGUCUCUUCAGCUAUUCCAGGGAUUUAAGUUUCUCUGACUACUUCUCUUUCUCCCUUCUGAUAUUAUGCCAGCUAUUCUCAUAAAUUAUUUAAUUAUUUUCCCAAGGGCUGAAAUAAAGUUCCAGAGUUUAAGUUUCCUAAAACCUUUAUAUAUGCUUGCUUUUCAUAUAUGGAAACACAAUAGUGAAAUAUAACAGCUUUUCACAACUGCAUUUUCACAGUAAUUCUUCCUUCUUCAUUUCCUUCAAAACUCUUGCAUGAGUGGUGUUGCAUCCUAGUGACUGGUCUUGAGCCUUAAAGACUAUUUAGUUGUAUGUUUCUGAGUGCAUAAUCUGCCCCACAAUUUGUUUGCCAAAUAGGUGUUUGCCUAAUUUACAUUCACAAUUACCUCAACUGCUUGCAUAAAUGAGUUAAUGAAACACACAAAUGUGUAACUGGUCAUAAAUAGUCAUUUCUGUGUGCAAUUGCAGUAAUUGCAUGCACCUCAUGAUUUUUAAAAUCAAGAACUUAAUUUUAUUCUAGUUCAUGUUGUAUAACAGUUAUAUUUAAGGAUUAUCACUCAACAAAUGCAGAUGUCUUUUUCCAUUAUGCCUUUUUUUCAUUAUGGCUAAUUGGUGGAUAACAAUGUUUAACAUUUCAGGGACUUCUUUUUGCUGAUAAACAGGGUUAAAACAUUUGCCUUAAACAAGCAGGAUGGCAAAUCUAUUUAUAUAUUAUGUUGUGUCAAAGUAAAUACAGAUUUGUACUCCUUCCAAGAAUGUAUCUAUAAAUAAAUUUUAUUUGAGGUAAAAGGGGAAAAGAGAUAGUAAGAUUCUUACCUGUUUUUAUCUGGACAUUCUGAUUGAAAAUAAUCACAUUUUGAAAUCAAAUGAAUUUAACUGUUUGUUUCAGUCAUAGGGUCUGCCAAAAUCUCUCAUUUUCCAUUUUCAAGUACAGGCAAACCUCAUAACAUUUGUUAUGCUGCUGACACCCAAUAUGCUUUUCUUUUAGAUCACAACUGGUUUCUGAAUAACAUAGAACUAAGACCUCUACAACUCUCAUCUUUCUGCAAGUGUCAAGCAUGUCAUAUACAAGUACUGAUUAUAAAUUUAUUUCUUAGGAUAAUAGCAAAGAAUACGGAUUUUCUUUCUUCCCUGAUCUGUCCAGUUUGACUGGUGCAGUGACCUUAACUGACAUAGUCUUUAAAUUUACCUUUCUCAAUCAAAAGUUCAUGGAAUUAAAGAAAAUAUUUAUAAAAAUAUUAUUAUUACAAUUAAAAUCAUUGUAGAUGGCAGAAUAUUACAACUGGAUAUGGGGGGAGAAAUAAUGCCACCACAGAAAGCAAAAGAAAAUGUGGGAACACCUUUCCUGUAACUGUGUGCUUCCUCCUAUCUCCCUCAUAUCCAAAUUUUAGUUAUCUGAACAGCAGGAAUUCUACAGGCCAACAGCAUCAAUGCUUUGGCGUAUUACCUCUCAAAUAGCCUGGAAAAAUAUCUUCAAAUAAAUCUUGAUUUGCCCAGAUGUGCCUUUUUUCUUAAUAAUAGUAAAAAUAAUGGAAAUCAGGUAAGCAAGCUUUUUGCAGAGUCAUUUGUCAUGAAACAUAGAUUCAGAUCAAAUGCUUUAUGAAGCUUGGAACAAGACAAGGGCUAGAAGAAUGAGGUAAGUGCCAAAUAUGCUUUUAGAGGAUUAAAAUCUCAAUGGAAUCCCACUGUUCCGUCUAGUCUUCCAGUUUUGACACAUAAGUUGCUUGAAGUUAAAGAUGAGCCUCCCUUGUUAUUAGUUGUUACUCUUCAGACAUUAGGCUAUCAUUGCUCUGGGGAAGGGUUUCCUAACUUGGUAUUAGUCUAUGAAAAAACAUGAAGAAAUUGUUUUGCAUUAAGAUAGAGUAGCUGACAAUCAAGAGGUGAGCUUGUGUAACUGUUCUGAACAAUGUAAAUACUUGUUUUUGGGAAAGGAACUGAAAUGAAAGUGCCCUAAAUAGGUUAUCUUUCUGAAUAACAUCUGAUAGCAUGAUGGUUUUAUGCAAGCUAGUAAAUUAAAUGGUGCCUUGGAAUGGUACUCAGCUCUGGAAUUCAGGCAUAUGUAGUCUACAAUAUUUUUUUGAAUGGCCUCUGAUAAUUUUGACCUAUACCAAGUAGCACUGUCUUAAACAAUUAAUUGGCUCAUUUCAGGAGUUAGCAAGUUACUAUUAUGUUGUAUAGGAAAAUGACAAAUCUAUCUAUAUGUUCCACUUGAGUUUAAAAUGCAUUAAAAAUAGCACUGAUGCUAUUGGAACUAACAUAGUAUCUAACAUACGCAUAAAACAUAUUAUUGAGAGAUUUUCCUUCCUCAACACACAGAAAACAACUUCAAGCUUAUUAUAAAUAGCCUAAUGCCCCUGCGAGGUCACCCACCUAUUAAGUUAAAAGCAGGGACCACUAGGUUAACAGUGAAGGUGUAGGAAGAAUGUUUGCAAACUGAUAAUCUAAAUGCUUUUCAGGAUAUAGUAUGGGAAGGAUUAAAUUUCUCUUCUCAAGAAGCCAAGUGAAAGGCAGCAGCAACUUGAUAGUCCUGUUUUUAAUACAGUUAUAUAUUUACAUCUACAUAUAUAUGUAUAUAUGUGCAGCCAUGAACACAUGUAUAUAUACAUGCGCAUGUAUAUAUGUAAAUCCAUAUACAUUUUAAAUGAUUUAUCUGAACAGAAAAUGCUUUUUCUAACCCAACUUGAUUUGGUAAUUGAACAGGCACGAGUUUCUAUUGGCUCAGAUUCCUGGAGCUUUGGGGAACAUUAGUUAGUACAUUUUCAUGCAGCCACCAAACCUGAUUAAAGUUUGAUUUUUGUUUUGUUUUAUUUUCCUGCAGGUUUGUAUCUCACUCAGUACAACUGUACAUAACAAGUAUAAAGUGAUGCAAGCAAGAGAGGCAUGGGCAGACUUAAGGGAGUGGUAUUUGCUGGUUUAAACUACUCCAGCUUUAUUGAUCCCAGACAGAAAUCUAUGCAGUAUAUCUUAGUUGCACCAUGAAGCUGUGCAGUUAUAUCUACUUGCAACAAUUUAUCUGUUGAGAAUUCUUUUCCAGAGAUUUUUUCAUACUGAGGCUCCAAAACCCCUUUUUACCUCGAUGUGCAUCUUGUAAAAGCUGUUCUAAUGCUUAUGUUCAGAAGAUUGAAGUUGUUAAGGAGUAAAGUUGUAAGAGAUUUUUCACUAUACAUUAAUUCACACAGUCCUUCCUGACUUUACAAGAAAACUGAAUUGAAAUGUCAAAUUUAUAAUGUUGCAACAUCCCACUUCAUUAUGUCGCCAGUAAUGGCUGGAGGCAAGUCUUUUCUCCAUACUUGAACUGUACAUUGUGAAGCAAAUUUUACUCAGCAUGACCAUGGGUUAAAUGAGUGGGAAGUUUAUUAAUACCAACUUAUGUAAGUUUGCUUCUGUAUUAUGUCAUCAUCACAUGCUACUCAGCUCCCUCUGUUAUCUCCACUUCCUUCUGCUACUUAUCACCUGCAUUUAGCAGGUAAAGAUAACCCUACAUGUUAUGUUUAGAAAUAUUUAAAGCUAGAUCUCAAAGAGAUGAGUCCAUGGGCAGUGAAAACAAUGGAUUAUUGUAUGAAAAUUAUAGGUUGUUAUUGUUGCAUACUGGAGUGCAAAAAUACUGGAAAAGCAUUUUAUAAAAUGAAAAGACAUAUUCAGCAUUUCCCUCUCUUUCUAAAUAACCUUAAUAAAGUGGUCUCAUAAACAGUGAUCCCUAGCAUGAUUAACAUGAAUAUCUGAAGUUGGUAUAGAUGCAUACUUUUCUCAAUACGAAAUAUCCACAGAAAAAGAAUUAAAACAGAGAAAAGAAAACCGUGCAAUUAAAUACUUGCUGCUAACAAUUAAACAAAAUGGAAGGGACUAAUAAAUUAUGUUGAAAGGCAAUAGACACUGGUAUGCAAUGGGAUCACUGCUCAGUAAUUUAUGAGUUAUUUGAAUCUGGUUUAUCUGUAAAAUAGCAUAAUUCCAACUGUCAUUAGUCCAACUACAUCUCAGAAACAUCCAGUGCUAAAGUCAGAAAACUAUUUAGACGUUACUUUAGGACUGCUAAAACUUUAAAUUGUCUUCAAGAAAGAGUGCAUAUGUCAUGUCUUGCUAAACAAUGACAGUCUGGCAUUAAUAAAAUCAAAUUACAGAUGCUAUAAACCCUCACUACAAUUAGAGAAGUUCGAUGAAAUUAAUUUAGUACAGAAAGCACUGGAAGUCCAAUUGAGCCCAAAUGGAUGUGAUCACAAAAAAUAGUUAAAAUUUUUAACUUCUCUAACAGAAUGAAGAAGAAAAGGAAAACGACUCUUACUUUUCUUGUCUAUAGCUGAGCAUCACCUAAGAGAGUGAAUCUAUGACCAUUUUUCUGAAAUUAGUACUUCAAUAACACAAUUUGAAGUUAGAGGGAAAAAAAGCUGAAAGAUUUUAUUAGAUCAAAUAUCAGGAGUAGAGCUUAAUUGUGCAGAGGUGUUGGCUACUAGCUCCUGUUCCUCACUCCCACUGAAAUCAAUGAGAGCUAAAUAUUAGGUAGGCAUUAAGUACCUAUUACCUGUAAUGUUAGGCUCUGUUUUAUUGAUAAUCUUCCUCUUACUUCUAAAAGUGCCGUGGCUAUAAUAUUUUAGAGAAUCACAAGAGGAUGACAUAUUGAUAAUACAGAACUGUGAAACAUCCUUCAUAACGUGAUGGUACUAGGUUUGAUGCAAAACUUCUCAUCAAAUGUGGUUUCUACAGAAAAACGGUAUACAUGUCCUAAAAUGAUGCAGGUUAAAACAAUAUCAUGUAAAGAUGCUUUCAGGUAAAUGAUAGGAAAGAUGAUGAAAUAUACUGGAGCAAACAAAUUCUAAUACUAGAAAUAAUCGUCACUUUAUCCAACCCCAUUUUGCUAAUUUCUGAUUCUUCUGCUCUGCUUCCUUUUCCCAGGAAAUAUUCUCUUUCCUGUAGAGGAAAAAGAUUCCUGGAAAAUAGUCCUGGGAUUUGUUUUCAUAAGUUCCAACCCUUGUGCUGCAGGCCUCCUCUAUGAUUUUUGUGGCUUGAAUCCUAUUAGUCAAAGCUGUAAAUACAAUAUAUCUUUUUUCUUUUUUUUUUUUUUCCUUUUUUUUUUUUUUUCUUUUGUUUGGCACAUUUGGAAUGUGAAUAGUCUCCAAAUUCUUCCAAGAAAUUAUUUCCCUCUUUCUUUUACCCUUCUGUCUUUCACAAAAUGCUAUUAUCCUUUCUUCAACUUUUCAUACUUUUCAGAGUGGCACUGAUGGUUUCUUGGCUAAACCAACAGCUACUUCUAAUAAUGCCAUUUGAAAUCUUAUAUGAAAAAAACAUUUUUUUUAUAUCUUCAUUUAAAUUAAACCUUUUCUUGAACAUUUUUAGUAUACUUCUAGAAUGUUUGUAGGCUCUUUCUCAACCAGCUUUAGACACUUAAAAGUUCAGACAGUUAAAUUUAGAGAAGUCACCCAAGGGAUCCAUUUAUAGUCAAUGGAUAAAAAUUUGUACCUUUAAAAGGUGAUUCAUUGCUUCUAUCUUAGGCAUCUCUGUUGGGAUGAAAUUGUACUCUGGAGGCCUCCAUUUCAUACUAUUGGCUAUAAAAACAGCUAAAGGUUAGAGUUUGGCAAUUAACUUCUGGAUAUCUAAGUAAGGUGCAAUGAAUUGCAAACAUUUCAUUUUGCAGUUCUACAUAAAGAUGACACUAUAUGCCACCAAAAUAUUCCAGGACUAAAAUCAUGAGCCAUGUAUGGUUUUUCACAAAAUAACUGCUGCCUAGAAACACAGUGCUCUGCAACCUCCAGCAAUUAUAUGAGUGAAUAUCACAUGCAAAGAAAGGAUUCUGUUGUCAAGCUUAACUGAAAAAGAUAAAAGCAUUGUUUAGGUUUAAUGCCGUGUGUGGGCACUGAAUGCCUUUUGAACUCUGUGUGCAAUUUACUCUUUCACCUAGUACAGAGUGUACUGAAGGACAAAAUGAAACAAAAGAAAGGAAACUGAACUACUACCUGAACAUGCAUUACAUGUUUUCAGAACAGAAAAGGUGAGGAAUUAAUGCUAAUCUGGAAAUACUCCAAGACAAUAUAUCUUGUUGAAGAUACUGCCUGUGCUCUUCUUAUCUGUGAGGUAUGAUGACCAGGUAGCAUCCCUGUUAAAAUCGAGCUUAAUUCUUUGACACAAGAGACAACAGAGAAUCUAUAGCUGGCUGAAGAGAGUAACUUCUCUCAGUCUCAUAACAGAACUAAAGAUUUUGCCAUUAACAAAAAAAAAUUCAAAAGGAAACUGGAAGCACUUCACUGUACACAUUUCCUUCUUUGUUAUGGUUCAGUGUAUUCAGCUUCAAAAAGCGUUUAAAGGGCACAUUGCAUAGAUUUCAACUGUCUUCCAUUCCAUUAAAGCUGAGAGAUACAUGUCUGGAAGUUAACUGCCCUAAGAGAGUUUCAGAAGUAUAUUCUAAAAGUAGUUGAUUCUUUUGCCAUCCCAUAUUAGAAUGGUUUAUUUCUAUUAAAAUCAAGGAUCUAGCAUCAUUUAAAUCACAUAAAGCUGACUCUUCAGAGUGGCUUGCAGUGAGCUAUUAAAGAAACAAAUCAAUCCCCGUCUACAGAAUAAGAAUGCCAAGCAUUCCCUGAGUAGCUGCUUCUGAGACAGUGAAAGUUGUUUGAAAUUUUUUUGGCAAAGUUACAAUAAAGUGCCAUAACAGUGUUGACAGAUGCUGCUUCAUGUGCCAGCAUCUGGCUCUGAUUCACAGUGGGAUGAUAUAAACAGGGAAUAAUGGAUAGCUGUUUUGCCUCUGUGGGAUGGUGUCAGAAUUAUGUGCUGAUAAUGUCCCCAUUAAAAGAUCAAUGUCAUUUCAGAGUUUACCCAAACAGACACAGCUAUUGGGGUGAUAGGUGAGUCAUAGACAAGAACCUAAUUAAAAUGACACCAGUGGACAUCUCAGAGUUUUGCAUAACUGAAUGGAAAUGUAAAGAUGCAAUAUUUAGACUCUAAACGACAGCUAAAAGUAUUUCAAAACUUGCUCAUUAAUAAAUUAGACAUUUCAAUAACUAAAACAAUGUUCAACUUCUCAUAAAUAUAUUCAAAAUUACUCUUUAUUACUUCAUUCCUUUCAGACUAUUUGAAAAGUAAUCAGAACUCUCCCAGAAGAUUAUUAGUGGAAUAAAUGCUUCUGUUGUUGUAUCAUCUCCAUUUAUGUCAUUAAUGGAGACAAAAGUAUUGAUCAGUGUUUCAUCAUAGAAACUUUUUUUUUUUUUUUUCCUCAUAAACAAAUAUGGACAAUUAACCAUCAGCUCUGAAAAUGAAAUCUCUGUAAAUUUUGGGGUACAGUACUGCCCUCAGAGGGAAAAGACCAAUUAAUUCUUAGGUGCCCUGUCUGCUUAAAAAGUAAAACCAUAAAAUUUUCACAGCUCUAAAACUCUCAUUCUAACAUUUCACUAAUGACAUUUUUUGUUUGUUUGUUUGUUUUUCUCUAAGGGAGAGGGCUAUUGAGUAGGGAGCAUUAGAAAGCAUCUCUAGGAAAAAAAAAUAAAAUUCUUUACUGCUCUGUCAAACAUGAAAGCCUAUAACUCUCUACAGUUUCUCAUGCAGAAUUUCUCUGAAUAAGAAGCAGAUAUGUUAUUUACUUAUUUAUUAUGACUGAUUUUUCAAUUGUAGUGCAUCAAUUACAUCCCCAGAUGAACUACUCUCAUAUCAAAGUUACCCCCACGUAAAUCUGAUGUAACAAGGUGAAAAGUUAGACCUUGUCAUUGAUAUAUCCACAACACAUUCUAGUCUUUAAUCAAGCAGGAGUGACACUUAAAAAUAGUUCAAGAGCUUAAAGAGUUUAGCUAUCUGUACAGCAGAGGGCAAGUAUUUAAAUCCAGUGCUACAGCCCACCCACAGUAAAUGCAGACAAUUUUACUUUCAAAAUUAGGUAUUCAAUGCUCUAAGAUCUUAUAGAGAAAUAUCACUUCCAAGAUCUUACAAUAUUGAUGUAUUUUAUAACAGUAUCUAUAUAAAUCAUUUUAUGUGGCAAGUAUCAUACAAACACUGACUUGCAAUUCUCUUACCACAUUUGUGUUACAGAAAUAAUCCCUGCUCUUUGACUGAAUAGCUCUUGACAAUGGAAAAGAAGAGAAAAGUCUUGUAAAAGAAAAUUAUAGACCGGAGGUCAUUCAAUUUGUUACUUUUUUCCAAGACCAAGCAGGCUAUAGGAUUCCUCAUGGACUCUGGCCACAAUUUAAUUGAAUUUAUUAACAGCAUUUUUAAUUUAAUUUAAUUCUAUUUAUUUUAUUAUUUUAUUUCACUUCAUUUUAAUUUUAACAUUUAAUUUAAUUUUAAAAUUAUUUUAUUAUUAUAAAUAUGUAUAUAUAUAUAUUUUCUAUAACCAUAUGUGUCCUAGGGGGAGAAAUGUAUGAGAUGAUGGGAUGACUGUUUUACCCUAUAGGGACACUCACAGUGCCAGAAAACUUGAGUUUCUUCAGUGCAAAUAUUUUUUCAACAGUAUAAGAUUAACAAGAUUGUCUACAUUACUUUGGCUUUUAGCCCCUGGCAUGGAUAUAAACAAUAAACAUAUUGAUAAAAGGAAAUGUUAUGGACACAUUCUUUGCAGCCCACCUAUUAUUGGAGAUGGUCAUGUAGUGGUAAAAGCUCCAUUUGGUAAUUGGAUACUUCAGUGCAAAGAUUUUAGAUAUGCUAAUAUCUAAAUAAUGUCACAGCUGUACUUUCUGAUUUUCCAUGAUCUUUGUUGUCAAUGAGGUAACUAUAAAAAUUAACCAGUAGUGAGGCCACGGUAUUGAAAUGCAAGUUUUUUAACCAAAACUGAAACACAGUAAAACUAAUUACUUAAAAUAAAUUUCCAAGACUUCCAAAUUAAAAAAUAAAAAAUCCAAACAUGAAUAUACAGUAUACCUGUGCAAAAAAAAGUGCCACAUUAGGACAAAAUAACCAAGAGAUGUUUAUUGCUUAAUUAAGCAGUAUGCAACAUGCAGAACCACAUGCUUAGGUGGGCAUGCAAAAAGAGAGAUACACACAAGAAUUCACUUUAGGUAGCUGCAAAGAAAAGGUACUUGUUCAUUGGAACAACUUCUUGAUCUGCCAGAGUAGUUCAAGAAAUAUUUCUACUAUUCUGUGUAAAGCGAGAUGGUAAGUACUGCAGGGAAAACAGGUGAGCAGAGUGGUAAAAAGGAGUUUUGUACUUCUCACCUUGUGAAAUCUUCCUGAGCUUAUGGCUAAAACUCCACUCAUUUUUAUUGUAAAAGGCUGAGACCCUCAGAUACUCUCUUUUACACAAAGUAAAACUUAAGUCUUGGAAGUUAGUUGGUAUUGAUGUAAUUAUUGGGAUUUACAGGAAGAUUUGCAUGAAAAUACUCAAAGUCAGAGACAAAUGCAGGCCAGAGAAAUAAGAAAGUGGAUGUGGAUGCUUCAUGAAUCAGCUUAGCAAGAAUUUCCCCUUCUAUAGUUUCUAAUGAAUCCACUGUGUACAGUGUACCUAUAUUUCAUUCAUUUUUAAAGGUAAGUCUACAGUAACAAAAUAAAGCUUAGAGAAAAUGAACAACAUUUCAGCUUCACUUCUUAAAAUCAAAGCAAGAGUUUAAACUGACGUCCAACAUAUUAUUCAGGUUACUGUCAAAAUGUAUUUAAAUCUUUUAAAAUGUGUACAUAAUUAACGAAAUGUAAGAAUCUAAGUGUUGCUGUUAAUUAUAUGGUAACUACAAACGCUAUGUUAAAUGGUCUGCUCUUCUUUAUACUCUUGGAUAAAAUUUAUAUAAACCUAAAAUCAGAUAAUGUUGCCAGUAAAUAAAAUGAUCUUUUCACUAAUACAGAAAUUCCAAAAAUACAAUCCAAGAAUAUAUACUGAAUGGCAUUGUUAUUAUUGACUAAUCCAUGUAUUGUGCCCAAAGAAUGUAAUGAGCAGGAUACUCCUCUUAUGAAAGUCAAUAAGAUAGAAAUUCACUAUAGAGUGUAAAUAUUGAAAAUAAUCUACAUAGUAGGCAAUACAUCUAUAUAAAGGAAUCUUCAAUUUAAAUAUAAUAAUAUUAUAUAUAAUAUAUAUAUAUAAUAAAUAUAUAAUAAACAUAUAACAUUAUAUAAUGUAUAAUAUAUAUCGUUCACAAAUUUUAAUCUUGGGGCUGACAGAAAUAAAUGAUUCCUAGUUUGAAAGUAUUGUGGUGUCAGGGUGACUGUAAUUAAAUUCGUUAGCUGAAUUUCUCUUAGAUCUCUUUGUUUGGACAAUGUAGUUUAACAUAAAAUAUAUAAAUUGAUAAAAGGAUAAAAUAUAUCAGAUUGUAAAGCUAAUUGGAUAUUAUGGUUAUUAAAGGGACUUGGUGUUCUGAUGUUUUCCCCACAUUUAUGUAUUCAAGAAAAUGAAUUAUCAUAUUUCAUUUCACAAAGGCCAGUGUGAAAUGAGCACAUUGCCUGAGAAAGGCAACAAACACUAACAGUAACAAACACUAACAGGUGUUAAUUGCCGCUCCUCGGCAAUUUCUAUAAGGAGCACAAAGCUGGGCAUACCUGGCCUUUACCUUGCUUCUCAGAGACAUGGUCUGGAUGUUUCAGCAUAGUUUCUCACGGACUGUGAAUUGACUAAAGCUUGUUUUGAAGGCUUUGUUUUAUUUUACCUUUUACAAAUAUAUAUCAUGCUCUGUCACAAAAAAAACAUUCACAGCAUUUAACUUUAGAUGUAGACAAACAAUUUAUGUCAAAAAGCAGUUGUUUUACAAGUAUAGACACUGUUGGACUUUUGGAGAUCCUAAGUUAAGGAGCUACCCUUUUCCUUUUCACCUAUAAAUCACAUGAUUUAAAUAUUUUUAUGACUUUUUUCCACUUUCUGGGGUCUUGAAUUUGUCUACCCAUAAGGCUCACUGACACUCAAUGUCCACUGAAUAUUAACCUGUGAUUUCUCAGAAAAACUCUAUCAUAGCACAGUGAAGUGACACAAGGCAAACAUUGGAAAGCAAGAGCAGAUGGUUGUGUCUUUGAUCUUCUGAAAUUCCACUCACUACAGAGUCCCUGCUCCCCUUCAUGGUCUUCACAGUUUCCUUGUGGCUGGAGAGGUCAAAAAUGAAAAGCCAUCUUCUCCAAAACUCUCUUCCAACAGCAGGUCUGCUCUGCCUUUGGAGAGUACCAAACAGCCCAGGGAGUUGUCUGGAGAAAGGGCUCUGACACGUGUCAAAGCUUCUUGCAGAUGUCAGGAAAACUCUGAGGGUGAUCUUGAAGAGCUCCAUGCAACUCUUCACAUUGUGAUUUAUUAAUGAUACAGCUGUGUGAAUCACAUCUGCUACAGGGAGUUUUAUAUAUAUAUAUAUUUAAAUCAAAACAUAACUGAAGGUCUCUGCUUUUUUUUUUUCUCUCACUCUGAGACUAGAUGAAGACCAACCUGAUAUAAUAUUUUUCUCUCCUUUAAUUCAAUCAUCACUCUCCAUUUCAUUCUUUGAGAACAAGCCAAACAAACCAUCUCCUUGCAAAAUCCCAAGGUUAUUCAUUUUCCCUCCAUAAAAAUCUGUGUCCUCACUCUCCCUGUUUUGAGAGUCUGUGCUUCUCAACUACAUACUUUGGCUGUGCCUAGACAUGCCAAGAGAAGACCAAAACUACAAACUACAAACUACAAGAGAUAAGGAAACACAGCCAAUUCAGGUCAAUGUCAGUGGAGAGCUUCCUGAGCAAAUAAUGACUGAAGUUUGUAAACUUGUUGCAAAGGUGUGCCUUAAUAUUCUAUCCUUGACUCUUCAUAAAUAUCAUUACCUAUCGUUCCUAGGAUUCUGUCUUCUCUAUCAUAUGUCCUCUUGUACUGGAGGAUGAUUUCAUUAUGAUUUCAGAAGGAAGAAUGACAAUUAAAUAAGGUCAGGGUAAAUUGGAUUAAUGUGAUGUUAUGAGACAAUUGUCAAUCAUUAUCGGUAGUUCUAGCUUCAUUUUUGUUUGUUUGCUUGUUAAGAAUUGUUUGUAUUAGAACAGAUGAACAUGGAGAUAUGGGAAGAGGGAAGAUAAAACACAAAGGUGAUGAUUCAGCUAAGAUAUUUUAUAUAUGAAGAACAACAAUGGCUCUUCUAUUCUUGAAGCAUUCUGGGGUUAAUGUUUGCUAUUUGUUAAGAAAAAAACAAUACAAUAUUAAUGAUAAGCUCCUUCCUCUUGCAUCACAGCCAAAAAAAAAAAAAAAAAA